rnacentral:misc_RNA from 1 species
AUCCCUAAACAUCCCCUCAGUACACAAGCAUCACUGAAAUACGCCACACCAGAGAGGAAAAGCAGGAGCCGACGCAAAAGGCAAAGACACAAGCAGAGAGAGAAGAAGCGAGUGCGAAAUCCCCGCCAUCUUGCGAAGGCGGAGUCACUCGGGUGAUCGAUAGCGCCCCGGCUGCGAGUCGGCGGCGACGCCAUUACUACAGGAAGGUCUUCGCCGGAGGACCUCGUGCGGCGCUCGCUCUCCCGGGACAUUUUGUCACCCAGCUUUCUCUCUCAGUUCUCGGUAGUCGGAAAAAGUGCAUGAACUCUUCAGAAUUCUGAACAAUUGAUAGUAGAAGGAUGAGGACUGACUGCAAGGUAUACGUAGGCAAUCUUGGCAACACUGAAGCCAAACAUGAAUUGGAAUCGGCCUUCUCCAAGUAUGGGCCCCUUGUAAAUGUAUGGGUCGCAAGGAAUCCACCAGGCUUCGCAUUUGUGGAGUUUGAGGAUCCUCGGGAUGCAGAAGAUGCUGUGCGUGCCUUGGAUGGAACACGCAUGUGUGGUGUCCGCGUCAAAGUCGAAAUGUCAACAGGACGCUCUCGACGGGACCGCUUCCAUUCCCCUCCCAGACGUGGCGGUGGCGGGGGAAGACGGUCGAGGACUAUCUCGCCCAAAUUACUUCUUGUUCCACCACCACCAUCUACUCCUCCUACUGUUGCUACCACACCACCACCACCAACUCCACCACAACCACCACCACCACCACAAGUACUUCCACCACCACCACCACCACCACCACUGCUAGCAUCAGCGUCAGCCUGCUUGUACAGUGGACUUCCAGUUUUGGGUUGUAGGGGUAGAUGGGAUGCCUCAUUGUGGGCAUCCCUCCCACCCAUCACCUCGUACCUCACUGGGAAUGCAGCUUGAUUCAGCAGUAGAGGUUGAUCAAGUAACUCUCCAGGAUGGUGAAGUGUGACAGUAUUUCGUAAUACUUUAUGCUUUACUGAUCUGAGGAUGGUAUUGCAUACCAGUGUUGGGAAGGUGGUGGCCCCUGAUCAGCCAAGGCAUGUGCAGCGGUGGUGGUGCGCGGCACGUUGCCUGAUGGCCCUCCUCCGGCGCGGCACCUCAUGGCACCCGGGCAGCCCUUAUGCGCUUCACGUGUCCUCUUCUCCCCGCCCGUCUACGUCUACCCUCCGCCCAACGCCCGCCCGCUGCCUGCGCACCAUCAGGCCUGCCCCCCCACCCACCAUCUUGGGUCUCUGACCCUUCAACGCUCGCUCCACUUUCUUACAUUCAUCGCGCCUCGACUCAUCAUAACGGCUACCCUGCUGUGACGGUCACGAUCUCCCAGGCGGUUUGGCGGUGGAGGUCGCGGUGGUGGACGCUCACGGUCUCGCUCUCCUCGCAGGUCCCGUUCCCGCUCUCCAAGUGACCAUGAAUAUGAGGCAAGGCCAGCUCGCCGAGGAUCCCCAAG